AGUGAACGCUGGCGGUAGGCCUAACACAUGCAAGUCGAACGGCAGCACAGUAAGAGCUUGCUCUUACGGGUGGCGAGUGGCGGACGGGUGAGGAAUACAUCGGAAUCUACUUUUUCGUGGGGGAUAACGUAGGGAAACUUACGCUAAUACCGCAUACGACCUACGGGUGAAAGCAGGGGAUCUUCGGACCUUGCGCGAUUGAAUGAGCCGAUGUCGGAUUAGCUAGUUGGCGGGGUAAAGGCCCACCAAGGCGACGAUCCGUAGCUGGUCUGAGAGGAUGAUCAGCCACACUGGAACUGAGACACGGUCCAGACUCCUACGGGAGGAAGCAGUGGGGAAUAUUGGACAAUGGGCGGAAGCCUGAUCCAGCCAUACCGCGUGGGUGAAGAAGGCCUUCGGGUUGUAAAGCCCUUUUGUUGGGAAAGAAAAGCAGCAGGUUAAUACCCCGCUGUUCUGACGGUACCCAAAGAAUAAGCACCGGCUAACUUCGUG
rnacentral:rRNA from 1 species